rnacentral:rRNA from 1 species
UACGUAGGGUGCUAGCGUUGUCCGGAUUUAUUGGGCGUAAAGAGCGUGUAGGCGGCCACGCAGGUCCGUUGUGAAAACUGGAGGCUCAACCUCCAGCUGUCGACGGAAACCGUGUGGCUAGAGUCCGGAAGAGGAGAGUGGAAUUCCUGGUGUAGCGGUGAAAUGCGCAGAUAUCAGGAAGAACACCAAUGGCGAAGGCAGCUCUCUGGGACGGUACUGACGCUGAGACGCGAAAGCGUGGGGAGCGAACAGG